rnacentral:rRNA from 1 species
GACGAACGCUGGCGGCGUGCCUAAUACAUGCAAGUCGAACGCAGUGAGGACGGGUGAGUAACACGUGGGUAACCUCCCAUCAGAGGGGAUAACACUUGGAAACAGGUGCUAAACCGAUACUGAUGGAUGGACCAGCGGUGCAUUAGCUAGUUGGUGAGGUAACGGCUCACCAAGGCCACGAUGCAUAGCAGACCGGAGAGGGGGAUCGGCCACACUGCGACUGAGACACGGCCCAGGCUCCGACGGGAGGCAGCAGUAGGGAAUGUUCGGCAAGGUACGAAAGUCGUAACGAGCAACGCCGCGUGAGUGAAGAAGGUUUUCGGAUCGUAAAACUCUGAUGUUAGAGAAGCGGUAUCUAACCAGAAAGCCACUGCUAACUCCGUGCCAGCCGCCGCGGUAAUUC